rnacentral:rRNA from 1 species
GACGAACGCUGGCGGCGUGCCUAAUACAUGCAAGUCGAGCGGACUUGAUGAGAAGCUUGCUUCUCUGAUAGUUAGCGGCGGACGGGUGAGUAACACGUAGGCAACCUGCCUGUAAGACUGGGAUAACUACCGGAAACGGUAGCUAAUACCGGAUAGCUGGUUUUCUCGCAUGAGAGAAUCAUGAAAGACGGAGCAAUCUGUCACUUAUGGAUGGGCCUGCGGCGCAUUAGCUAGUUGGUGAGGUAAUGGUUCACCAAGGCGACGAUGCGUAGCCGACCUGAGAGGGUGAACGGCCACACUGGGACUGAGACACGGCCCAGACUCCUACGGGAGGCAGCAGUAGGGAAUCUUCCGCAAUGGACGAAAGUCUGACGGAGCAACGCCGCGUGAGUGAUGAAGGUUUUCGGAUCGUAAAGCUCUGUUGCCAGGGAAGAACGUCUUGGAGAGUAACUGCUCUAAGAGUGACGGUACCUGAGAAGAAAGCCCCGGCUAACUACGUGCCAGCCGCCGCCGUAAGAC